GUUGUCCUGUAGCUGGCUCAGUGAUGGUUCACUUCUCAGCUUCUUUGGAAGUUGCUCUUUGGUUGGGGUAUUCAGUGUGACAGGCUAGCUGCAGACACAGCCAUUGACCUGAGGAGAAGGGGAGUGGCCUCUGUCAGUCUAUGACCUUGAGUAGUUCAGAGUUGGUGUCUCAACUCAUCAUCAUUGAGAAGGAUUCUCCACCAGGUAUUUAUCCUAAGAGAUGCAUUUGCCAAUGAAGACACCACAGAGCUGAGUGGGAAGUGCAUUGUGGAGAUGGCGGAAAGGUACAUUACAUUUACAUUAUACUACAGCAUGUACAUGGUCAUGCACCGUUAUACACUCAGUGGCGAGUUUAUUAGGUACACCACCCCAUUCACAAAAAUGGUUAGCAUCUACAGAGAGUUAGUCACGUGGUCGUGGCUUGCUAUAUAAAGAAGGCAGACAAGCAUGAAGGCAUUCAGUUACUGUUCGAAUGAAACAUUAGAAUGGGUAAAACUAGUGACCUGAGCAACUCUGAGCGUGGUAUGAUCAUCAGGUCAGGCGCGCUGGUCCCAGCAUCUCAGAAACAGCCGGCCUCCUGGACUUUUCACGCACAACAGUGUCUAGGGUUUACUGAGAAUGGUGCGACAAACCAAAAACAUCCUCGGUCCUCU